ACGGGGGCCCGCACAAGCGGCGGAGCAUGCGGAUUAAUUCGAUGCAACGCGAAGAACCUUACCAAGGCUUGACAUGUUCUCGAUCGCCGUAGAGAUACGGUUUCCCCUUUGGGGCGGGUUCACAGGUGGUGCAUGGUUGUCGUCAGCUCGUGUCGUGAGAUGUUGGGUUAAGUCCCGCAACGAGCGCAACCCUCGUUCCAUGUUGCCAGCACGUAAUGGUGGGGACUCAUGGGAGACUGCCGGGGUCAACUCGGAGGAAGGUGAGGACGACGUCAAAUCAUCAUGCCCCUUAUGUCUUGGGCUUCACGCAUGCUACAAUGGCCGGUACAAUGGGUUGCGAUACUGUGAGGUGGAGCUAAUCCCAAAAAGCCGGUCUCAGUUCGGAUUGGGGUCUGCAACUCGACCCCAUGAAGUCGGAGUCGCUAGUAAUCGCAGAUCAGCAACGCUGCGGUGAAUACGUUCCCGGGCCUUGUACACACCGCCCGUCAAGUCACGAAAGUUGGUAACACCCGAAGCCGGUGGCC
rnacentral:rRNA from 1 species